AGUGGAAAGGGGGGGAGAUCAGUAAGGAAACUUACCUUAUGGAGGUCAGAGCAUGUAGAGAUGGAGUGAGAAAGGCCAAAAGCCGUGUAGAGUUGGACCUUGCGAGGGGAAUUAAAACCAACAGCAAGAGGUUUUAUAGCCAUAUAAAUAGGAAGAAAAGGAAGAAAGAAGAAGUGGGACCGCUGAAGACUGUAGCUGGAGUGGAGAUUAAGGAUAAUCUAGGCAUGGCAGAAUAUCUAAACGAAUAUUUUGCAUCGGUCUUUAAUGAGGCAAAUGAAGGGUUUAGGAAUAGUGGCAGCGUGACUGAAGGGAAUAAAGGAGGGGGGAUUACCGUAUCCGAGGUAGAAGCCAAACUUGAACACCUUAACGGGACUAAAUCGGGCGGACCGGAUGAUCUUCAUCCGAGAAUAUUGAAGGAACUGGCGCGAGAAAUAGCAGGCCCCUUAGCGAUAAUUUUUAAUGAAUCUUUAAACUCGGGGGUGGUACCGUUAGACUGGAGAAUAGCUAAUGUGGUUCCUAUUUUCAAGAAAGGGAAAAAAAGUGACCCGGGUAACUACAGGCCUGUCAGUUUAACAUCUGUAGUAUGCAAGGUCCUGGAGAAAAUUUUGAAGGAGAAAGUAGUUAAGGACCUUGAGGUUAAUGGCAAUUGCGACAAAUUACAACAUGGUUUUACCAAAGGCAGAUCGUGCCAAACCAAUCUGAUCUCCUUCUUUGAGAAAGUAACAGACUUAUUAGAUAAGGGAAAUGCGGUGGACCUAAUAUACCUCAAUUUCAGUAAAGCGUUUGAUACGGUACCGCAUGAGGAAUUAUUGGUUAAAUUGGAAAAGAUGGGGAUCAAUAUGAAAAUCCAGAGGUGGAUAAGGAACUGGUUAAUGGGGAGACUGCAGCGGGUCGUACUGAAAGGUGAACUGUCAGGUUGGAGGGAGGUCACCAGUGGAGUUCCUUAAGGUUCGGUUUUGGGUCCCAUUUUAUUUAAUCUAUUUAUUACUGACCUCAAAACCAAAUGUAGAAGUGGGCUGAUAAAGUUUGCGGGUGACACAAACUUGGGAGGAAUUGCCAAUUCGGAGGAAGAUCGGGAUAUUCUGNN
rnacentral:lncRNA from 1 species